UGACAACANAGUUGUCUGNUCAGGAUGACGUAGUACAGGNUAACACAUGCAAUUCGAGGGCAGCAUGUCUUAGCUUGNUAAGACNGAUGGCGACCGGCGCACGGGUGAGUAACGCGUAUCCAACUUCCCCCACAGUAGCGGAUAGCCCGGCGAAAGUCGGAUUAAUACGCUAUGAGGUGCAGUAUUGGCAUCAUGGCCGCACGAAAGAUUUAUCGCUGUGGGAUGGGGAUGCGUCUGAUUAGCUUGUCGGCGGGGUAACGGCCCACCGAGGCGACGAUCAGUAGGGGUUCUGAGAGGAAGGUCCCCCACAUUGGUACUGAGACACGGACCAAACUCCUACGGGAGGCAGCAGUGAGGAAUAUUGGUCAAUGGCCGGAAGGCUGAACCANCCAAGUANCGUGCANGACGACGGCCUACGGGUUGUAAACUGCUUUUAUANGGGAAUAAAUUUUGGUACUUUUCCGUUUGUAUUUACCUAUGAUAAGACGCUAAUCCGUGCACACCNCGUAUACGAAGUCCGGCUUUCCGAUUAUGGUUUAAGGACCAGCGGACUAACUUUGUAAUUUCGNCCCGUA
rnacentral:rRNA from 1 species